UACGUAGGGUGCAAGCGUUAAUCGGAAUUACUGGGCGUAAAGCGUGCGCAGGCGGUGAUGUAAGACAGAUGUGAAAUCCCCGGGCUCAACCUGGGAACUGCAUUUGUGACUGCAUCGCUGGAGUACGGCAGAGGGGGAUGGAAUUCCGCGUGUAGCAGUGAAAUGCGUAGAUAUGCGGAGGAACACCGAUGGCGAAGGCAGCCCCCUGGGCUAACACUGACGCUCAGGCACGAAAGCGCGGGGAGCGAACAGG
rnacentral:rRNA from 1 species